UACGAAGGGGGGCUAGCGUUGCUCGGAAUCACUGGGCGUAAAGCGCACGUAGGCGGCUUCUUAAGUCAGGGGUGAAAGCCUGGAGCUCAACUCCAGAACUGCCUUUGAUACUGAGGAGCUUGAGUCCGGGAGAGGUGAGUGGAACUGCGAGUGUAGAGGUGAAAUUCGUAGAUAUUCGCAAGAACACCAGUGGCGAAGGCGGCUCACUGGCCCGGUACUGACGCUGAGGUGCGAAGGCCAGGGGAGCAAAGCGGG
rnacentral:rRNA from 1 species